rfam:Astyanax mexicanus Tnplaced_Scaffold4062, whole genome shotgun sequence.
GUCAGAAUGGCCGAGCGGCCCAAGGCACCAGACUGAAGGUUGUGCACUUUCUCCAAAACAGAGAGAUUUCUGGUCUCCGAAUGGAGGCGUGGGUUCAAAUCCCACUUCUGGCA